rnacentral:rRNA from 1 species
GAUGAACGCUGGCGGCGUGCCUAAUACAUGCAAGUCGAGCGAACAGACGAGGAGCUUGCUCCUCUGACGUUAGCGGCGGACGGGUGAGUAACACGUGGAUAACCUACCUAUAAGACUGGGAUAACUUCGGGAAACCGGAGCUAAUACCGGAUAAUAUAUUGAACCGCAUGGUUCAAUAGUGAAAGACGGUUUUGCUGUCACUUAUAGAUGGAUCCGCGCCGCAUUAGCUAGUUGGUAAGGUAACGGCUUACCAAGGCGACGAUGCGUAGCCGAGCUGAGAGGGUGAUCGGCCACACUGGAACUGAGACACGGUCCAGACUCCUACGGGAGGCAGCAGUGGGGAAUAUUGGGCAAAGGGCGAAAGCCUGACCGAGCCACGCCGCGUGAGUGAAGAAGGUCUUCGGGUUGUAAAACUCUGUUAUUAGGGAAGAACAAAUGUGUAAUUAACUAUGCACGUCUUGACGGUACCUAAUCAGAAAGCCACGGCUAACUACGUG